rnacentral:rRNA from 1 species
UACAGAGGGUGCAAGCGUUGUUCGGAAUUAUUGGGCGUAAAGCGCGUGUAGGCGGCGUGACAAGUCGGGUGUGAAAGCCCUCAGCUCAACUGAGGAAGUGCGCCCGAAACUGUCGUGCUUGAGUGCCGGAGAGGGUGGCGGAAUUCCCAGUGUAGAGGUGAAAUUCGCAGAUAUCAGGAAGAACACCGACGGCGAAGGCAGCUCGCUGGGACGGUACUGACGCUGAGGCGCGAAAGCGUGGGGAGCGAACAGG